GGCAUUUGCACUCAACUGUCACAGCCAGUAGUGAUAAUCCAACCCAUUUGGUGCAUGUGACAGCUUUUUCAAGAGCGUUUCUAACAGUGGCUGGAACAAGGCAGUUAAUGGCAGAAGUUACUGUAAUAAGAGAGAGUGUCUGUGUGGUUCUAGGGGAACCCUUUGCUCUACAGGAAAAGAAACAUAAACAAACAAGGAAACGGAGACAUAGAGAAGUGAGAUCCCUUGUCCAAGGCCACAUGACUUAAAAGUGCAAAGCUUGGAAAUGAACUCAGCCAGUCCAUUUCCUGAGCCUGUGGGCUAUCCACUACCACAAAUCCCUGAGAGUUAAGCCAUCUCUGAUUUCAAAGGCUCAUAAAUUAAAAUAUCUAAAUAUGUUAUGGAUAGAGUGGAAUUUUAUUUCUACAUUAUCUAUAAGAUUUGAGCUAUUCUCACUAACAAGUCCUUGGAAACAUUCAUGUUAAUUUCCAUAAGUUUGGAGCCUCCGAU
rnacentral:lncRNA from 1 species